rnacentral:rRNA from 1 species
GACGAAGGGGGCUAGCGUUGUUCGGAAUCACUGGGCGUAAAGCGCAUGCAGGCGGAUCGUUAAGUCGGGGGUGAAAGCCCGAGGCUCAACCUCGGAACUGCCUUCGAUACUGGCGAUCUUGAGUCCGGGAGAGGUGAGUGGAACUCCGAGUGUAGAGGUGAAAUUCGUAGAUAUUCGGAAGAACACCAGUGGCGAAGGCGGCUCACUGGCCCGGUACUGACGCUGAGAUGCGAAAGCGUGGGGAGCAAACAGG